rnacentral:rRNA from 1 species
AGAGUUUGAUCCUGGCUCAGGAUGAACGCUAGCUACAGGCUUAACACAUGCAAGUCGAGGGGCAGCAUUUUAGUUUGCUUGCAAACUGAAGAUGGCGACCGGCGCACGGGUGAGUAACACGUAUCCAACCUGCCGAUAACUCCGGAAUAGCCUUUCGAAAGAAAGAUUAAUACCGGAUGGCAUACGAAUAUCGCAUGAUAUUUUUAUUAAAGAAUUUCGGUUAUCGAUGGGGAUGCGUUCCAUUAGUUUGUUGGCGGGGUAACGGCCCACCAAGACUACGAUGGAUAGGGGUUCUGAGAGGAAGGUCCCCCACAUUGGGACUGAGACACGGUCCAAACUCCUACGGGAGGCAGCAGUGAGGAAUAUUGGUCAAUGGGCGAGAGCCUGAACCAGCCAAGUAGCGUGAAGGAUGAAGGCUCUAUGGGUCGUAAACUUCUUUUAUAUGGGAAUAAAGUUUUCCACGUGUGGAAUUUUGUAUGUACCAUAUGAAUAAGGAUCGGCUAACUCCGUGCCAGCAGCCGCGGUAAUACGGAGGAUCCGAGCGUUAUCCGGAUUUAUUGGGUUUAAAGGGAGCGUAGGUGGAUUGUUAAGUCAGUUGUGAAAGUUUGCGGCUCAACCGUAAAAUUGCAGUUGAAACUGGGAGUCUUGAGUACAGUAGAGGUGGGCGGAGUUCGUGGUGUAGCGGUGAAAUGCUUAGAUAUCACGAAGAACUCCGAUUGCGAAGGCAGCUCACUAGACUGUCACUGACACUGAUGCUCGAAAGUGUGGGUAUCAAACAGGAUUAGAUACCCUGGUAGUCCACACAGUAAACGAUGAAUACUCGCUGUUUGCGAUAUACAGUAAGCGGCCAAGCGAAAGCAUUAAGUAUUCCACCUGGGGAGUACGCCGGCAACGGUGAAACUCAAAGGAAUUGACGGGGGCCCGCACAAGCGGAGGAACAUGUGGUUUAAUUCGAUGAUACGCGAGGAACCUUACCCGGGCUUAAAUUGCAACAGAAUAUAUUGGAAACAGUAUAGCCGUAAGGCUGUUGUGAAGGUGCUGCAUGGUUGUCGUCAGCUCGUGCCGUGAGGUGUCGGCUUAAGUGCCAUAACGAGCGCAACCCUUAUCUUUAGUUACUAACAGGUCAUGCUGAGGACUCUAGAGAGACUGCCGUCGUAAGAUGUGAGGAAGGUGGGGAUGACGUCAAAUCAGCACGGCCCUUACGUCCGGGGCUACACACGUGUUACAAUGGGGGGUACAGAAGGCGGCUACCUGGUGACAGGAUGCUAAUCCCAAAAACCUCUCUCAGUUCGGAUCGAAGUCUGCAACCCGACUUCGUGAAGCUGGAUUCGCUAGUAAUCGCGCAUCAGCCAUGGCGCGGUGAAUACGUUCCCGGGCCUUGUACACACCGCCCGUCAAGCCAUGAAAGCCGGGGGUACCUGAAGUACGUAACCGCAAGGAGCGUCCUAGGGUAAAACUGGUAAUUGGGGCUAAGUCGUAACAAGGUAGCC